AUUGAACGCUGGCGGCAGGCUUAACACAUGCAUGUCGAGCGAGCGGCGGACGGGUGAGUAAUGUCUGGGCAACUGCCUGAUGGAGGGGGAUAACUACUGGAAACGGUAGCUAAUACCGCAUACCAUCAGAUGUGCCCAGAUGGGAUUAGCUAGUAGGUGGGGUAAUGGCUCACCUAGGCGAAGAUCCCUACCUGGUCUGAGAGGAUGACCAGCAACACUGGAACUGAGACACGGUGCAGAAUGCUACGGGAGGGAGCAGGGGGGAAUAUUGGACAAGGGGGGCAAGCCGGAUGCAGACAUGCCGGGUGUGUGAAGAAGGCCUUCGGGUUGGAAAGCACUUUCAGCGAGGAGGCGUUACUCGCAGAAGAAGCACCGGCUAACUACGUGCCAGCCGCCGCGGUAAUAC
rnacentral:rRNA from 1 species